rnacentral:lncRNA from 1 species
AUAGUUUUGAAUGCAUUUUUCAUUAUUUGAAACCUUUUUCUUCUAGCAUGUAGUAAUGGUGGGAGAACUAAAUGACCCUGAAAAUUCUGGAAAUGAGGAGAAACAGACUAAAGCCAUAGGCAGCAGAUGAAUGAAGAGAGAGAAGAGUGCUUUAGAACGCCUCCAUCACCACCUGUUGCACUGUCCUGAUGCUUGUGCUCCCCUUCAAGAGGCAGAUGGAACAAAUCUGGGAUGGCUGGCUCACUGUGAGUGUCUCCCAUGUCCCUGUGUCACAGACACAGGGUGUCAUAGUCACCCUGAAUGUCCACCAGUUAAUGUUUUCUUUGUGGCCCUGUUCACUGAUUUUGGAUCAGGCUAAUCUUUCCUCAGUGUCCUCCUCUCCCCUAAUUUGUGAGUCUGAGCUGAAAUCCCACUGACAUGAGGGCAAUAGAACAGCAGAAUCUGUGUCUGCAAGUAGGUGGCCUGCUGUGCACUGGUGACCACCCUAGUUGCCUUGGCAAACCUGGCUGGCAUGGUGCUGACCGUCACCAUUCAGAGGGACUGGAUCGUGAGCUGACGGGUGACAACAUAGGCCAGCUGGUUGAUUGGUGUGGAGCUGUACUGGAGAUGCAGAUGUCAACAGAGGAUGAUUCCGAGACAACUGGCCCCUUGCAGUGCAGAUAA